GCCACGUAUUUGCUUUAUUAUGUAUAUGUGUGUGUGUGUGUGUGUGUGUAUAUAUAUACAUGCACUCACGUGCACAUGUAUAUGUACACA
rnacentral:miRNA from 12 species